CCUACGGGAGGCAGCAGUAGGGAAUAUUGCUCAAUGGGGGAAACCCUGAAGCAGCAACGCCGCGUGGAGGAUGAAGGUUUUCGGAUUGUAAACUCCUUUUGUUAGAGAAGAUAAUGACGGUAUCUAACGAAUAAGCACCGGCUAACUCCGUGCCAGCAGCCGCGGUAAUACGGAGGGUGCAAGCGUUACUCGGAAGCACUGGGCGUAAAGAGCGCGUAGGCGGGAUAGCAAGUCAGAUGUGAAAUCCUAGGGCUUAACCAUAGAACUGCAUUUGAAACUGUUAUUCUAGAGUAUGGGAGAGGUAGGUGGAAUUCUUGGUGUAGGGGUAAAAUCCGUAGAGAUCAAGAGGAAUACUCAUUGCGAAGGCGACCUGCUAGAACAUAACUGACGCUGAUGCGCGAAAGCGUGGGGAGCAAACAGGAUUAGAUACCCCGGUAGUC
rnacentral:rRNA from 1 species